AUUGAACGCUGGCGGCAGGCCUAACACAUGCAAGUCGAACGGUAACAGGAAGAAGCUUGCUUCUUUGCUGACGAGUGGCGGACGGGUGAGUAAUGUCUGGGAAACUGCCUGAUGGAGGGGGAUAACUACUGAAAACGGUAGCUAAUACCGCAUAACGUCGCAAGACCAAAAAGGGGGACCUUCGGGCCUCUUGCCCUCGGAUGUGCCCAGAUGGGAUUAGCUAGUAGGUGGGGUAACGGCUCACCUAGGCGACGAUCCCUAGCUGGUCUGAGAGGAUGACCAGCCACACUGGAACUGAGACACGGUCCAGACUCCUACGGGAGGCAGCAGUGGGGAAUAUUGCACAAUGGGCGCAAGCCUGAUGCAGCCAUGCCGCGUGUAUGAAGAAGGCCUUCGGGUUGUAAAGUACUUUCAGCGGGGAGGAAGGGAGUAAAGUUAAUACCUUUGCUCAUUGACGUUACCCGCAGAAGAAGCACCGGCUAACUCCGUG
rnacentral:rRNA from 1 species